rnacentral:ncRNA from 1 species
ACAAUGAUACUUCCUUCAAGCCACAGUCCGAGCGUUAAGAGCGUCGCAGGCAAUGGGUAGGGCUGCAUGAGAACCAUGCCGGGGUGAAAUUCCCAUGA